AUUCCACUGGUAAGAAAUAAUUGUCAUAAUCAAUCAUAUAGGGGCAAAUAUCAAAGGCCUUUCAUAUAUGGAAAGUUGUUAACACGCACGCAUGAACGAGUCUCUCCUACACCACGAAAUAAUUACACGCUCGUAGACAUGUCACGCAGAAGGCAAGGGAAGAAUAACUGCAGACUUGCGUCAAAACUGGGAGUCUAGGCUUGUCUCCCUUUAUUCAUCAUGGAGACCGUUUGCUUUACCUCCCUACGUUCGCUUCCUGAAUUGUUGACGCGUCUACUGUUUAUUGCUACAUUUGGCUUCAGUCAUCGGCUCAGUGUCGUCUGCAAAAGCGAAGUUUUAUCUUGGUGGCCUCACACGAUGGAAAUGAAGAUGUGAUGGUCUUAAAGGGUUUCGUGGUGCUUUCCAAGGCUUUAAGAAUGCUUCAAGGACAAACUGAAGAUAUUCAUCCCUCCCUUUGGGCAGAGCUGAGGAGAGAGGCUCGAAAUCUGAGCCUGGCAGCAGGACUUUGCACGAUGAGAAAUUAUUACUUAGAACGUUCCUGAUACCGCCGCUGCCUCCUGCCCGCUCCCUUUGGCAUGCCUAGCAUCUCGAACAGCGCUGUUCUGUGCCCCUCCCGCUGCCAGGGAAACUGGCCAAAUUCUGGCAACGACGCAACGGAAGAGACAAGUUUAAGUGUUUAAAGUUUCGAGUUCGAUUAUCAUGUGUGGUGGUGACAAUUCCUCGUCAAUCGGUGCG